GGGCUUGUGGUUUAGUGGUAUAAUACUCCCUUAGCAAUCUGAUUGCCUCUCUCUUCCGAGAAGCAAACGAGAAUCUGGGAGUGGUCCGGGGUUCGAUUCCCCGCGAGUCCA